UACGGUUGCAAAGCUGAAACUUAAAGGAAUUGACGGAAGGGCACCACCAGGAGUGGAGCCUGUGGCUUAAUUUGACUCAACACGGGAAACCUCACCCGGUCCGGACACUGGAAGGAUUGACAGACUAAAGCUCUUUCUUGAUUCAGUGGGUGGUGGUGCAUGGCCGUUCUUAGUUGGUGGAGUGAUUUGUCUGGUUAAUUCCGAUAACGAACGAGACUCUCGCCUGCUAAAUAGUUUUCCAUACGUUACUUUAUGGAACCUAAAACUUCUUAGAGGUACAAGUGGCGUUUAGCCACACGAAACAGAGCAAUAACAGGUCUGUGAUGCCCUUAGAUGUCCGGGGCCGCACAUGUGCUACAAUGAAUGCAUCAACGUGUAUCAGCCUCGCCCGAAAGGGUUGGGGAAUCCGCUGAACGGCAUUCUCAGUAGGGAUUGGGGAUUGCAAUUAUUUCCCAUGAACACGGAAUUCCCAGUAGGCGCCAGUCAUCAGCUGGCGUCGAUUGAGUCCCUGCCCUUUGUACACACCGCCCGUCGCUACUACCGAUCGCUCUUGUUAAUGAGCUUGUCGGAUUGGACCCGGUGAGCAGUCGUUGCGCUUCAUCUCCUCGCGGGGUGGGCCUUCGUCUGCGAGCUUUUGGUGUAUGCCGAGAAGAUCGGCAAAUUAUCUGGAGUAGAGGAAGUAAAAGUCGUAACAAGGUAUCCGUAGGUGAACCUGCGGAUGNNNNNNNNNNAGAUACGUACUACUCUGUGCGGUGGAUCACUCGGCUCGUGUGUCGAUGAAGAGCGCAGCUAGCUGCGAGAAGUAAUGUGAAUUGCAGAACCACAUUGAAACAUCGACAUCUUGAACGCACAUGGCGGCCUCCGGGUUACUCCGGAGGCCACGUCUGUCUGAGAGUCGGAAUUGUAGUGCUUUAAAAAUCGGCGGUCACCACCAAAAUAUAUGUCGUAUACAAUAGACACGAUAGGUGGAUGUCCGCGAGGGUUGCUUCUCGGUAGAAAGAUACAUACAAAAAGUAAAAGAGAAGCCGCCGAGUGGCGAGUUGUUGAAAGUAGCCCAGCGAAACAACGGAACAAACCCUCGGAAUAAGAAAGAAAAAGACGUGCUGUACGAAAAAGUGCAACG
rnacentral:rRNA from 1 species